CGAGAUUUCCCGGAAGCCAUUGCCCUAGCAAGAGCGUUGGGUCGCCUGGCAACCGCACCAAGGCUGCAGAGGAACCAGGCUGAGGAAAUUUACAAACCUGACUUCCAGACUCAGUUCCUCCCGCAAGGGGAGAGGUGCCUUCAGGGAAGAAGUCUGGGGGCUGCAGAAACCAUAAAGCCACGUUUCUCAAACUUGUCUGCCAAAAGUUGAGCAUAAAACAAUAGCUAAACCUGCUUCCUGACAUGGUAUCAGAACAGAGCUACUGCUGAGAGUUUGACUUAUAGAGAAAUCAUGGUUCGACUAACCUUGGAUCUAAUUGCCAAAAAUAACAAUCUUAAACCCCGAAAAGAAGAAACCACUUCACGAUACCUGAAGAAAAUAACUCAUCUAAAUUUUUCAGACAAAAAUAUAGAUACAAUUGGAGACCUCUCUCCUUGCAAAAGUCUUAGUGUUUUAUACUUGUAUGAUAACCGUAUUAGUGAAAUCACUAACUUGAAUUAUGCUACAAAUCUGACCCACCUGUACCUACAAAACAAUUGUAUUUCAUGUAUAGAGAACCUCAGGUCACUAAAGAAACUGGAAAAACUGUAUCUGGGAAGCAAUUAUAUUGCUGUCAUAGAAGGUUUAGAAGGAUUAGAAGGACUGAGAGAGCUUCAUGUUGAGAGUCAGAGGCUUCCCCUUGGAGAAAAGCUUCUGUUUGAUCCAAGAACUCUUCAUUCUCUGGGAAAAUCCCUCUCUAUAUUGAAUAUCAGCAAUAAUAAUAUUGAUGACAUAAGAGACUUAGAAAUACUGGAGAAUCUUAAUCAGCUCAUAGCAGUUGACAACCAACUUCUGCAUGUGAAGGAUUUGGAAUUUUUACUGAACAAGUUGAUGAAGCUGUGGAAAAUGGAUCUAAAUGGAAAUCCUGUUUGUCUCAAACCCAAAUACAGAGACAGACUGAUACUGGUGUCCAAAUCACUGGAAUUUCUUGAUGGAAAAGAAAUUAAAAAUAUGGAAAGACAAUUCCUAAUAAAUUGGAAAGCAUCCAAAGAUGCCAAGAAAAUCAGCAAGAAAAAGAACAGUAAAAACGAGGAUGCAAGUAACUCAUACAUAAGUAACUUUGAAACAAUCCAUCACAUAGUUCCUGUUUAUUACCCACAGGUGGGUAAGCCAAAAUUAGUCUUUUUCUCUGAUAUACCAAGAAACCUUGCAAAUGGAAAUGCAUCCUCAGAAAGCUCCCAAGAAGAUAAACCUAAAAUUGCUGAAGAUAUGGGGAAUUAGGACUACUCUAGAAUCAUCAGAGGAUUCAGAGAGGCUGCUUAGAGUAGCAGCAGAUAUGACCAGGUGGCCCACAGUGGAAUCCCUCUUUGAAGGAAUGUGAAAGCUUGCUGACAAAAAAAUGAUAUAUAUGAAUUUCACCUUCUCCAUAACCCAAAAGAAAAUGUUUGUAAAAAAAAAAAAAAAAGUAAAUUCGUCCUUAAGUGCUCUUUAA